CUACGGGGGGCUGCAGUGGGGAAUAUUGCACAAUGGGCGCAAGCCUGAUGCAGCCAUGCCGCGUGUAUGAAGAAGGCCUUCGGGUUGUAAAGUACUUUCAGCGGGGAGGAAGGGAGUAAAGUUAAUACCUUUGCUCAUUGACGUUACCCGCAGAAGAAGCACCGGCUAACUCCGUGCCAGCAGCCGCGGUAAUACGGCGGGUGCAAGCGUUAAUCGGGAUUACUGGGCGUAAAGCGCACGCAGGCGGUUUGUUAAGUCAGAUGUGAAAUCCCCGGGCUCAACCUGGGAACUGCAUCUGAUACUGGCAAGCUUGAGUCUCGUAGAGGGGGGUAGAAUUCCAGGUGUAGCGGUGAAAUGCGUAGAGAUCUGGAGGAAUACCGGUGGCGAAGGCGGCCCCCUGGACGAAGACUGACGCUCAGGUGCGAAAGCGUGGGGAGCAAACAGGAUUAGAUACCCUUGUAGUC
rnacentral:rRNA from 1 species